ACUGCUCAGUAACACGUCGAUAAUCUGCCCUUAAAUCUGGAAUAACCUUGGAAAACUGAGGCUAAAACCGGAUAGGACAAUAUUUCUGGAAGGAGUAUUAUCUUAAAGGCAACGUUUAAGGAUGAGUCGGCGGCAGAUUAGGCUGUUGGUGAGGUAAAGGCUCACCAAACCUAAGAUCUGUAGGGGCUUUGAGAGAAGUAGCCUCGAGAAGGGCACUGAGAUACUGGCCCUAGCCCUACGGGGUGCAGCAGGCGCGAAACCUUUACAAUGCACGCAAGUGUGAUAAGGGAAUCCAAAGUGCUUAGCUUUGCUAGGCUUUUGCCGAGCGUAAAUAGUUCGGCGAAUAAGUGGUGGGAAAGACUGGUGCCAGCCGCCGCGGUAACACCAGCGCCACAAGUGGCAAUCGUUUUUAUUUGGCCUAAAGCGUCCGUAGCUGGUUUAAUAAAUCUCUUGUGAAAUCGUUUUGCUUAACGAAACGGCGUGCAGGAGAGACUGUUAAGCUUGGGACCGGGAGGAGUCAGAGGUAUGCUGGGGGGAGCGGUAAAAUGCUAUAAUCCCCGGUAGAUCACCUGUGGCGAAGGCGUCUGACUAGAACGGGUCCGACAGUGAGGGACGAAAGCCAGGGGAGCAAACCGGAUUAGAUACCCGAGUAGUCCUGGCUGUAAACUCUGCGAGCUGGGUGUUGCAUAUUCUCCGUGAAUAUGCAGUGUCGUAGUGAAGAUGAUAAGCUCGCCGCCUGGGAAGUAUGGUCGCAAGACUGAAACUUAAAGGAAUUGGCGGGGGAG
rnacentral:rRNA from 1 species